AUGGCAGAGACGGCAAUCACGGCGGUGCUGGCCAAGAUCGGGCAGCUGGCGGCGAGCGAGGCCAGGGUGCUGCUUCAGGUGGGCGAUGACUUGGUGCUGCUGCGCGACCGUUUGGAGUGGCUGCAGGCCUUCCUCCGCGAUGCCGACCGGAAGCGCCGAGCAGGCACCGACCAGCUGACCCGCGUCUGGGUGCGGCAGACACGUGACAUCGCCUUCCAAGCCGAGGAUGCGCUCGACGAUUUCUUUUACGAGGUUGACCUGAAAAGCCAGGGCUAUCGAGGUUGGAAAAUGUGGCGAAAAUAUUUGACUGGUUUAUGCACCCAAAUCAGCAUUCGACAUGUGCUGUCUGUCCGAAUCAAAAUAAUCAACAGAAGACUAGAGAAAAUGUCAGAGAAUCAAAAGGAAUACAAAAUCGAACAUACACCAACAGCGACAUUGACUUCUUCCACUACGGCCACUUCAGCAUGGCUGGAUAGUUUUGAGAACGCCGUGGGAUUGGAAAAAGAUGUUAAGACGCUUGAGGGAAUGCUGCUUCGUAAAGAUCAUCCUCAGCAAAUGUUUAUCUCCUUACUUGGGGAGAGUGGUGUCGGAAAGAGUACACUGAUGGAUGUUAUCUAUCACAAUAUGGAGGUGAUUAGUCAGUUUGAAAUUGUAGUUUGGUUCAACAUGCCGCCAGAUGGCACCACAGAAACUCUCCUCCAAUCAAUCUACGAUAGAGCAUAUGUAAGUGCACCGCAACAUCAACCGGAUGAAGGCAUUGAUAUCGCCGAUAAGCUCCGACACCACCUGGAGAAAAAGAGGUACCUUGUGAUCAUCCAUGGCAUAUCCUCCGAAACCAUCCUCAACUGCCUGAGGGCGAGCCUACCAGAUGACAAUAAUGGUAGCAGUGUUGUGCUCAUGUUGGACACUGAGAGCGAAGAAGUAGCAUGGCAUGCUAACACACUGAACAAAGAUGGCAUCAAUGGAAUCCACAUGUUGAAUCGUUUGGAUGAAAAAAGAAGUGGAGAGUUGUUUUGUUCGAGGGCCUCCAGGAAAGAAAUGUCGGAUGUAAAGGAAGACAUGAGCAAGUAUGACAAAAUUGUGUACGACAUAACUGGAGGCUACCCUCUGGCUAUAGUCCUCCUGGCUGGACUCCUCCGAUUCAAGGAGAAGCCAGGGCAGUGGGAAGCAGUGCUGCAACUUCUCAGGCCUGGACCAGGAAUGGAAGAAGCACAAGGCGUUGAGGGCAAUAAGAUAAUUGGAUCUGUACUGCCCAAGGGGAGGCGGCGUAUCGAGUGGCGGAUGAGCUCUACAACACAAUCUAACCUGUCAACAAGAACGACCCUCGAGAGGGUCUUCUGGGCAAGCUUUGAAGACCUCCCCAAUGAUCUCAAGUCGUGCUUCCUUUACUUCGCUGCUUUCUCUAAGUGUACAUCUAUGCCAGCCGAUGAUAUCGUGAGGAUUUGGAUUGCCGAGGGAUUCAUCAAACCGCAAAAGGGUAAGACUAUGGAGGAGCUGGGCUACAACUACCUCAACGAGCUGCUCUUGAGAUGCCUUGUUAAGGUUGAAGAAGAGGCGAACGACGCCUACAUCAAUGAGGAGUUCAGCGUUCACAAAAGGCUCCAUGGGUUCCUGCAAUCAGAGGCUCGCGAAGCAGGAUUCAUUGAUGUUCAUGACACGUAUGACAUCUUUGUUCCACCGUCGGUGCGACGUCUCUCUUUCAUGAGUUUCGAACGCGGACAUACGGCAUUCACCAACAAGUUCCGUAAGCUGCGUUCCUUCAUUAGCUGUGUCGAUGAGCAAGACCAGCGUAAUGACAGCCAAGGCGUGUACCAGAAGCGUCGGCAUGAUCUCAAGUUUUUGUGCAGGUCCAAGUUCCUUCGUGUGAUCCAUGUAUCUGGAUUAGGGAUUAGGGAACUUCCAAAUGAGAUUGGUGACAUGGUUCACUUGCGGUACAUAUUAAUUGGUAGCAUGGACCUCGAGAAGCUCCCCUCAAGCAUUAAGAGUCUGCUCAACCUGCAGACACUAGAUAUAAGUGAAACUCGAGUCGAGGAGAUUCACCCAUCCUUCUGGAAGAUAAAGACAUUGCGGCAUGUGAUGGCAUCAAAGCUCAGUCUUCCAGCAUCCAUCGACGAAGAACUGGACGAGCUGCAGACGCUCUGGGGUGUAAAACCUGCCCAACAAGGAGAAUGGGAUCAACGGGAUUGCCCAUUGCACAAGACGACCAAACUCCGGUCAUUGUUUCUGGAUGGAUUCGAGCAGUCUAAACAUGGGGCCGCACUUGAGAGUGCUCUCGGGAAGAUGAGUUUCCUUGCAAACUUGAAGCUGGAAGGUGAUGAGAUCCCUUCAUGUGUCUUCACAGCACAGAACCUUCGAUACCUUGAGACAAUAGAUAUCGCCGGCAAAAUCAAAUGGCCUGAGGCCACAUCAGAUGUUCGCAGGAUCCGGCCUAACCUUGUUAUGCUCAAAGUGUACAAGGAUAGCAGUGAGGAGGCGGUGCCCCAGCACAUCCAGAACCAACUGGAGGGGAUAUUGACGGUAGCCAAUGUAUAG
rnacentral:rRNA from 1 species